AAUAGGAAAACGACAAAUCAGAUUUUUCUCUUGAUUUUUAGCUUUUUCCUCUUAAAAAAUUCAAAUCAAACUAAUAACACUAAAAGCCAGGAGGAAAAAUAUGAUUUGUCAUUCUCCCAUU
rnacentral:pre_miRNA from 1 species